rnacentral:rRNA from 1 species
CCUACGGGUGGCAGCAGUAGGGGAUAUUGCACAAUGGGGGGAACCCUGAUGCAGCGACGCCGCGUGGGUGAAGGAGUAUUUCGGUAUGUAAAGCCCUAUCGGCAGGGAAGAAAUUGGACGGUACCUGACUAAGAAGCCCCGGCUAACUACGUGCCAGCAGCCGCGGUAAUACGUAGGGGGCAAGCGUUAUCCGGAUUCACUGGGUGUAAAGGGAGCGUAGACGGCCAGGCAAGCCUCGAGUGAAAGCCCGGGGCCCAACCCCGGGACUGCUCUGGAAACUGUCCGGCUGGAGUGCGGGAGAGGCAGGCGGAAUUCCUGGUGUAGCGGUGAAAUGCGUAGAUAUCAGGAGGAACACCGGCGGCGAAGGCAGCUUGCUAAUCCGCAUCUGACGCUGAUGCACGAAAGCGUGGGUAGCGAACAGGAUUAGAUACCCCAGUAGUC